GACAUUUGCCGCUACUGCUGCUACUGCUGCUCCUACUUCCGUCUCUGUAGCUUCUUGUGUAGCUGCUCUGUACGGGGCAGCUACGUACGUACGUACGGCAUUAUUCCGCGUUCAUAAGGGUUUCGUUGACAGGGGGGGAGGAGCGGCGCCGGUGUCGGGGGAGGAGGGGGGGAGGGAGGAGGAAUAAUGAACGCGGCCAAAAGCAGCGGAACGUGGGCUUUCAACGGCCGACCGAAGUCAAAAUCACUACCAACCAAAACGGGGAUCACCCAAAAAGGGGAGAGCGCGUUUGGGGGCCCGUAACUUAGGGAGGGCCCGGGCGUGCCAUUGUGUGUGUGUGUGUGUGAGGGGGAAUUGGAAGCGCUGGAGCACUGCAAGAAGGGGAAUAAGUCGCUCUCCCCCCCCCCGGACCCCCCCGGACCCUCCAGGCCGCCAUUUUCACCCAUUCCCCCCACAUGGGUACGGAACACUUCGACAGUGACCGAUCGAUUAACGUGCGGUGGCCUCGCGGUUGGGGAUCUAACCGACUGGUGGCAGUUACUCACCGCAACCAACGGCAUCGGCGCCGCUGACGUCACCAUCACUUGAACUCCAGAAUGCUACGACAUGGUUGCCGCCGCAGCUGACACGGAUCGGCCUGCGUACGGCAACCGUACAAGGCCGUGGCGGCAGAGCGCCACCACCGCCGCCGCUGCCGACAGCUGCGCCGUUCCCUCUAGCGGCAACGCUGUCACUUCCCCUGCCGCCGCCGCCGCCGUC
rnacentral:lncRNA from 1 species